UACGGAGGGUGCAAGCGUUAUCGGGAUUCACUGGGUUUAAAGGGUGCGUAGGCGGAAUUAUAAGUCAGUGGUGAAAGCCCCGAGCUCAACUUGGGAACUGCCAUUGAUACUGUUUUUCUUGAGUGUGGUUGAAGUGGGCGGAAUAUGACAUGUAGCGGUGAAAUGCUUAGAUAUGUCAUAGAACACCGAUUGCGAAGGCAGCUCACUAAACCAUUCCUGACGCUGAGGCACGAAAGCGUGGGGAGCAAACAUG
rnacentral:rRNA from 1 species